rnacentral:rRNA from 1 species
AAAACUUUCAACAACGGAUCUCUUGGUUCUGGCAUCGAUGAAGAACGCAGCGAAAUGCGAUAAGUAAUGUGAAUUGCAGAAUUCAGUGAAUCAUCGAAUCUUUGAACGCACAUUGCGCCCCUUGGUAUUCCGAGGGGCAUGCCUGUUCGAGCGUCAUUUCA